UGCGUAGGCGGACUAAUAAGUCAGUGGUGAAAUCUCUCGGCUCAACCGGGAAACUGCCAUUGAUACUGUUAGUCUUGAGUUCGGUUGAGGUAGGCGGAAUGUGUAAUGUAGCGGUGAAAUGCUUAGAUAUUACACAGAACACCAAUUGCGUAGGCAGCUUACUAGACCGACACUGACGCUGAGGCACGAAAGCGUGGGUAGCGAACAGGAUUAGAUAACCUGGUAGUCC
rnacentral:rRNA from 1 species